rnacentral:lncRNA from 1 species
CAAAUUUGCAGGGAAGACUCGUACAAAUUUAUUUUGAUGAGAUGUGACAUCUCGCAAUGCAUGAUACAUGUUGUCUAUACGUAACAUAAAUAUGUAUAUAUUUUCACAGAUUAUUCGUUCUUUAGCGGUUACAAAUCACAAAAGAAUACAUUUGCAUAGAUUAUUCGUUCUUCAGCAGUUACAAGUUCAUCAACUCUACAGACACAAAAGAAGAAAGGAACAAAAUAUGGCACAACUAGAACUAGGUUUUAUAUGUUCUGGUUGUAUUGGCAAGUCCCAUGGAU